rnacentral:rRNA from 1 species
AGCGAACGCUGGCGGCAGGCCUAACACAUGCAAGUCGAACGGAUCCUUCGGGAUUAGUGGCGGACGGGUGAGGAACACGUGGGAACGUGCCCUUUGGUUCGGAACAACUCAGGGAAACUUGAGCUAAUACCGGAUGUGCCCUUCGGGGGAAAGAUUUAUCGCCAUUGGAGCGGCCCGCGUCUGAUUAGCUAGUUGGUGAGGUAACGGCCCACCAAGGCGACGAUCAGUAGCUGGUCUGAGAGGAUGAUCAGCAACACUGGGACUGAGACACGGCCCAGACUCCUACGGGAGGCAGCAGUGGGGAAUCUUGCGCAAUGGGCGAAAGCCUGACGCAGCCAUGCCGCGUGAAUGAUGAAGGUCUUAGGAUUGUAAAAUUCUUUCAGCGGGGACGAUAAUGACGGUACCCGCAGAAGAAGCUCCGGCUAACUUCGUG